rfam:Haemonchus placei strain MHpl1 genome assembly, scaffold: HPLM_scaffold0000247
CUUUGAUACAAAUUUCAGGUCCCUCGAACUUAUCUCGGUAUGGUCGUCGGCUCUUUGUGCGCUCUGAUGGGAGUGCUGACAAUCGCAUUGCCAGUACCCGUCAUCGUUUCCAAU